rnacentral:rRNA from 1 species
GAGGAGGAAGGUCCCCCACACUGGGUACUGAGACACGGACCCAGACUCCUACGGAAGGCAGCAG